rnacentral:rRNA from 1 species
UUCCGGUUGAUCCCGCCGGACCUGACUGCUAUCGGAUUGAUACUAAGCCAUGCGAGUCUUUGUAGUAAUACAAGGCAGACGGCUCAGUAACACGUAGUCAACCUACCCUAUGGACGAGAAUAAUCUCGGGAAACUGAGCAUAAUUCUUGAUAGAUCAUAAUGCCUGGAAUGGUUUAUGAUUAAAAUGAUUCGUCGCCAUAGGAUGGGACUGCGGCCUAUCAGCUUGUUGGUGAGGUAAUGGCCCACCAAGGCGAUUACAGGUACGGGCUCUGAGAGGAGAAGCCCGGAGAUGGGUACUGAGACACGGACCCAGGCCCUAUGGGGCGCAGCAGGCGAGAAAACUUUGCAAUGUGCGAAAGCACGACAAGGUUAAUCCGAGUGAUUUCUGCUAAAGAAAUCUUUUGCCAGUCGUAAAACCACUGGUGAAUAAGGGGUGGGCAAGUUCUGGUGUCAGCCGCCGCGGUAAAACCAGCACCUCAAGUGGUCAGGAUGAUUAUUGGGCCUAAAGCAUCCGUAGCCUGCUUUGUAAGUUUUCGGUUAAAUCCAUGUGCUCAACGCAUGGGCUGCCGAAAAUACUGCAUAGCUAGGGAGUGGGAGAGGUAGACGGUACUCAGUAGGUAGGGGUAAAAUCCUUUGAUCUAUUGAUGACCACCUGUGGCGAAGGCGGUCUACCAGAACACGUUCGACGGUGAGGGAUGAAAGCUGGGGGAGCAAACCGGAUUAGAUACCCGGGUAGUCCCAGCUGUAAACGAUGCAGACUCGAUGAUGCAUUGGCAUAAUAGCCAUUGCAGUGUCGCAGGGAAGCCGUUAAGUCUGCCGCCUGGGAAGUACGUACGCAAGUAUGAAACUUAAAGGAAUUGGCGGGGGAGCACCACAAGGGGUGAAGCCUGCGGUUCAAUUGGAUUCAACGCCGGG